CCUAGUGUCCACCUGAACCUUCCAAAAUAACCAAGUGCCAACUACAACAGUAUCCUACAGGCAGUCGUUAUCAUGAUGAUGUAAUUACCGAGUAACUCCGACGUUGAAUUCUGGCAGAAUUCACUUCAGUCAAACUUCUGUUUGCUCUUUCCAAAACACAAUCCAACAACAUCCCGGCUGGAGGAGCAACGUACAACGGACGAGAGAGGCAACAAUAACGCGAUUCAUACAGCCGCAGAACUAUGUUCCGGAAAUGGCGGUGGACCUUAACUGUUGCUCCCAUCCCAUCUCAUACGUUGUUUAUGAUUAAAAGAUGCAACUUCAUCUCGUUGUGCUGCAUUACCUGUAUAACUGAAGACAUGUAGGAACAGGGAAAAAAUAUUUGCCCCUUCCAAUAGUGAACGUCUUGCGAACAACGCUAAAUUUCAGAUGUUUGUUUAAUUACCUGUACCCUUCAAAUGGAAAAGAAACUAAUUUAGUUCAAUAUUUACACGACUGAAACUGGAAGCAACUGGCAGAGAGAUUCCGUAUUAAAUGGAGCUUUGCUGUUAUAACCUGUCUGUAAAGUAUUAUGUGCGAUGUUGACUAUACUUAACGGUAGUUUCUAAGAAGACGGAUCAAUGUUUAUUAAAACCGCAAGUGUGCCUUCAGGACAGCAGCGUACUAGGUUCAACAUUCGAGUGUGAUUUAUUUUGUUUCCAUAAUUGGUGAUAAUUAAGAUUAAUUGACAAAACAUGCCCAGCUAUCCACUUGAUUAAUUAAUUGUCCCUAAGUUGCACGUUCGCAACAGAACAUAUAUCUAAACAGCACAACGUUAUUUGAAACAAUAGGUUAAACAGUUUAGACCAAGCGUAUACUGUGUUGCGUAAUCAACAGUGGAACAAAAAUACUCUAAAUUUACAAAGGUCCUGCCGAGCUGCCAUUCUUCAAACUAGCAUCAAUCAAUCAGUUGCCAAACAGCUCCUCCCCGAUGAGAGCACUCGGGUAAUUUAACUGGUAAUUUCAUCCGCUGUCACGUUUAUUCACUGCAAGAUGCAUCGUUUAACCUGAAUCGGCUAGAUUCUUUGGAGUAAAUUUCGCGCCUCGAUACCAAAGAAUUGCGCGACGCGGUUUUAAUUAAGAGAAAGGGCUGAAUUUCAGAUUUAUGUGGUUACCCCAUUCACGUGACUGCUAAUUGGACAUGUGAAAUCAAAGUUUUUGGCUGGAGAAAUAUAACGUUGAUUUGUAGGUUUAUUAAAACGAAUUAUGUUGUAAUGUGGAGCGUACAAAUAGAUUGAUUUACCACGCCUGCAAGGGCUCUUUGAUGUUGGAAAUGUGCAGGUUGCCGAGCAAAAGGGCGCCUAUCUUGUUGCAUAUUCUAUUUUGAACUUCAUAAUUCCAAAAUAUUUAUUAAAAUAUCUAUCAGAGUUAAGAACAGAAAAUAUGAAAUGCACAGCCCAUCAGUCAGCAUCUGAGGAGAGAAGUACAAGCAAUAACUAUUCAGUUUGAUUUUUUUUAGAAAAAACAAACAUUUUCUGUCAUUGUGCGAUUACAAACACUGAACUCUUUGACAAAAUGACACUGUUUCAGAUUUGUGUAUUUGCAUCGCUAAAAUUUUGCAAUCAGAAUAAAUAUAAGAACUAAUGGACAUUGAUUGGCCAGUGUGAAAACAGUAGCAUUAAAAACACCAUCUCUUUUUUUUCCCUUCAUCGUAUCAUCACAUUUUUUUUCAAAUGCCAAGAUUUUUACUCAAAAUCAAGUAACGGUUGAGUUGCGUACCCGAGAAUGUUAAAUGCAUCUUAAUCAGUGCAUGGACUUAAAUAACUUUUGAUAACAAAAUGACGACAGUGAAAUAAUAAUAAUAAUGUCGGUGGAUGUAUAUGUUUUUGGAGACAUAAGACAAUGUGACGUUGCAGGGUUUGGUUAUGGUUAGAAAGCACAUUUUGUUUAUAUGAAGAAAACAUCACGAAUGUAUUUUGUACCAAGUCAUAAACGUAACUACUUUUCAAUUAAUACUGUGUUUGUUUAAAACCUCUGAAUAUCCAACGUUAAUUAAUUCGUACCGAAUUUAUCGAAACAAGGGGCUUGGCUGUGCUGAUAUUCUGCACAAUGAACCAAACUACUUUGAAUAUGUGGCCACCGAGUGCGCAUCGAAGAAAAAUACGAUUGUCAACGCUUCUCCCUGCAAUGUAUGUGAUCGAGAUCUAAUCUUGAGCGUUCCAAAAUGUAUUUAUUUUUUUAAGUGCAGCAGAUGGACCUCUGUCUACCUUCAAUUCUAUUUAUUCAAAUGAACUUUAAAAGCGAAAAACAUAGAUUAAUGCAACGUUCUAUUCAAAACAAUGUUAUUUAGUUUAAACCAAAAAUGUUGUAUUGCCUUUUAACAAAAUGUAUGAGCAAUCAUAUAUGGACAUUUUACUGUCCUCUCCGAAGUAUGUGCAACACUGGAGGCUGGUUUCUUUGUAACAAAUGAUUUUUUUAAAAAAAAAGUGGUUAUUGAACAAUUUGCACUAUCAAUGCG